rnacentral:lncRNA from 1 species
CCACCAAGUGACUCUACUUGGAUACUCGGAAGAAGAAGGAACUCGCUAACUCUUAAGGCCGUUCGUCGAUAGUGCAGUUGGGACCCUACUCACCAGCCGGUUGAAGGACUCCUCGGAGUGCAUCCUGGCUUGUCUUGAGCCUUUCUAAAUGAGAUUCUCAGAAUGGAACGGCGACCUGGUGCUGAGAAGAAUAUCACAAUGAAACAAAGUGCCACAAAGAGACAGCAUCCAUCGACGAUCAGUACCAAAGAGAAGAGGAGGCGUGGCCAACUUUCUACUAUACAGAACACUACCCAUAAUAAAAUUUGUCUCCAAUACAAAUGAAGUGGAACAGAAGAUACAGUAAAUAUGAUCUGAAAGUCUCUCAAGACAUUGUUUGGCAUCACCUACAUAAAAUAUCCUUGUAGCGAUUGGGGAGGGCCCAGAGAUGCCUGAAUGAUGAGCAGGGAAUCACUCAGAAAUUCAGACAUUGCUCGUCCUCACUCCGCGCAUUGGGCAUCAUUUGGUAUCAUUCAGGGAGAAGAGAGAGACUCACUUUCCCAAAGUGAGUACAUGAGAGACAGUCUUCUGGGAAAGCCAGGCGGAUGGGAACUCAACCAGCAGGGAUGCUUACAGCACUUAGCCGAACCCGAACUCGCAAAGUCUUCCUCUCUACUGUAUUCACAGGCAACGGGACUCUCUGCCUGGAACACCCAAAGAAAAUCAGCGCAUUGUUAGAAGGAAUUAGUUCAGCAAGACGUCCAAAUACAAGAUCAAUUUGUAAAAUCCAACCGUUUACAUCAGCAGCAAAUAAGCAGGAAGGAGACAGUGAGACACGUCUCAUACUCACAGCAUCUGGGGUUAACCUAACAACUUUUCAGAACUUUAUGGAGAAGCUCUUAAAACUCUAUUAAAGGACAUUA